rnacentral:rRNA from 1 species
GACGAACGCUGGCGGCGUGCUUAACACAUGCAAGUCGAACGGAAAGGCCUUGUCGGUGGUAGUCGAGUGGGGGACGGGUGGGUAAGACGCGGGUGAUCUGCCUUGCACUCUGGGAGAAGUCUGUGAAAGAAGGUCUAGUACCGGCUAGGAAGGCGCUCUAGCGGGUGGGGGGGGAAGGUUUUUCGGUGGAGGAUGGGGCCGCGGCCUAUCAGCUUGUUGGUGGGGGAAUGGCCUACCAAGGCGGCGACGGGUAGCCGGACUGGGAGGGUGGUCGGCCACAUUGGGGCUGAGAUACCGCCCAGACUCCUACGGGAGGGAGGGGUGGGGAAUAUUGCAAAAAGGGGGCAAGCCUGAUGCCACGACGCCGCGGGGCGGAUGACGGCCUUCGGGUUGUAAACUCCUUUCGCCAGGGACGAAGCGUUUUGUGACGGUACCUGGAGAAGAAGCACCGGCUAACUACGUG